GGAAGGGUGCGUGAGCGGUUGAAACGGACAGUCUCGAAAACUGUUAGGGGUUAACGCCCCUCGAGGGUUCGAAUCCCUCCCCUUCCG
rnacentral:tRNA from 1 species